rnacentral:rRNA from 1 species
GACAGAGGGUGCGAACGUUGUUCGGAAUUACUGGGCGUAAAGCGCAUGUAGGCGGCAGCGCAAGUCGGGCGUGAAAUCCCACGGCUCAACCGUGGAAGUGCACUCGAAACUGCGCAGCUAGAGUCCUGGAGAGGAAGGUGGAAUGCUUGGUGUAGAGGUGAAAUGCGCAGAUAUCAGGAGGAACACCGGUGGCGAAGGCGGGACUCUGGGCCGAUACUGACGCUGAGGAGCGAAAGCGUGGGGAGCGAACAGG